GAUGAAGAACGUAGCGAAAUGCGAUAAGUAAUGUGAAUUGCGGAAUUCAGUGAAUCAUCGAACCUUUGAACGCACCUUGCGCCCCUUGGUUAUUCCAAAGGGCAUGCCUGUUUGAGUAUCAUGAACACCUCAACUCUUGUGGUUUCCCACAAUGAGCUUGGACUGUGGAGGUUUUGUUGGCCCUGUGGUCAGCUCCUCUCAAAUGGAUCAGCUUACCGGUGUUUGGUGGCAUUACGGGUGUGAUAACUAUCUACGCUCGUGGUCGUCUCCAAAUAACCUCCAGUGAUGGAGGUUCGCUGGAGCUUAUAAAUGUCUCUCCCCAGUGAAGACAGCCUUUGAACGUUCGAUCUCAAAUCAGGUAGGACUACCCGCUGAACUUAAGCAUAUCAAUAAGCGGAGGA
rnacentral:misc_RNA from 1 species